CAGAGAACUUAUGNGAGUCAGCAUGCUUAGGUGCCUUCGGGAACUCUGAGAACCGGUGCUGCUAUGGCUGUCGUCAGCUCGUGUUGUGAAAUGUUGGGUUUAGUUCCCGCAAGGAAGGNCAACCCUUUAUNCUUUGUUGCCAGCGGUCCGGCCGGGAACUCAAAGGAGACUGCCAGUGAUAAACUGGAGGAAGUGUCGGGGAUGACGUCCAGUCAUCAUGGCCCUUACGAGUAGGGCUACACACGUGCUACAAUGGCGCAUACAGAGAGAAGCGACCUCGCGAGAGCAAAGCGGACCUCAUAAAGUGCGUCGUAGAUCCGGAUUAGGAGUCUGCAA
rnacentral:rRNA from 1 species